rnacentral:rRNA from 1 species
UACGUAGGGACCAAGCGUUGUUCGGAUUUACUGGGCGUAAAGGGCGCGUAGGCGGCGCGGUAAGUCACUUGUGAAAUCUCUGAGCUUAACUCAGAACGGCCAAGUGAUACUGCAGUGCUAGAGUGUGGAAGGGCAAUCGGAAUUCUUGGUGUAGCGGUGAAAUGCGCAGAUAUCAGGAGGAACACCGAUGGCGAAGGCAGGUCUCUGGGCUGACACUGACGCUCAUGCACGAAAGCGUGGGGAGCAAACAGG